GAUGAACGCUGGCGGCGUGCCUAAUACAUGCAAGUCGAGCGAACAGACGAGGAGCUUGCUCCUCUGACGUUAGCGGCGGACGGGUGAGUAACACGUGGAUAACCUACCUAUAAGACUGGGAUAACUUCGGGAAACCGGAGCUAAUACCGGAUAAUAUAUUGAACCGCAUGGUUCAAUAGUGAAAGACGGUUUUGCUGUCACUAAUAGAUGGAUCCGCGCCGCAUUAGCUAGUUGGGAAGGUAACGGCUUACCAAGGCAACGAUGCGUAGCCGACCUGAGAGGGUGAUCGGCCACACUGGAACUGGGACACGGUCCAGACUCCUACGGGAGGCAGCAGUAGGGAAUCUUCCGCAAUGGGCGAAAGCCUGACGGAGCAACGCCGCGUGAGUGAUGAAGGUCUUCGGAUCGUAAAACUCUGUUAUUAGGGAAGAACAAAUGUGUAAGUAACUAUGCACGUCUUGACGGUACCUAAUCAGAAAGCCACGGCUAACUACGUG
rnacentral:rRNA from 1 species